CACAUGCAAGUCGAACGGAAGGUGCUCUUCGGAGUGACUCGAGUGGCGAACGGGUGAGUAACACGUGGGUGAUCUGCCCUGCACUUUGGGAUAAGCCUGGGAAACUGGGUCUAAUACCGGAUAGGACCACGGCCUUCAUGGGUUGUGGUGGAAAGCUUUUGCGGUGUGGGAUGGGCCCGCGGCCUAUCAGCUUGUUGGUGGGGUAAUGGCCUACCAAGGCGACGACGGGUAGCCCGGCCUGAGAGGGUGUCCGGCCACACUGGGACUGAGAUACGGCCCAGACUCCUACGGGAGGCAGCAGUGGGGAAUAUUGCACAAUGGGCGCAAGCCUGAUGCAGCGACGCCGCGUGAGGGAUGACGGCCUUCGGGUUGUAAACCUCUUUCAACUACGACGAAGCGCAAGUGACGGUAGUAGUAGAAGAAGCACCGGCCAACUACGUGCCAGCAGCCGCGGUAAUACGUAGGGUGCGAGCGUUGUCCGGAAUUACUGGGCGUAAAGAGCUCGUAGGUGGUUUGUCGCGUUGUUCGUGAAAACUCACAGCUUAACUGUGGGCGUGCGGGCGAUACGGCAGACUG
rnacentral:rRNA from 1 species